CAGUCGCCGCGGUAAUACGUAGGGUGCAAGCGUUAAUCGGAAUUACUGGGCGUAAAGCGAGCGCAGACGGUUACUUAAGCAGGAUGUGAAAUCCCCGGGCUCAACCUGGGAACUGCGUUCUGAACUGGGUAGCUAGAGUAUGUCAGAGGGAGGUAGAAUUCCACAUGUAGCGGUGGAAUGCGUAGAGAUGUGGAGGAAUACCGAUGGCGAAGGCAGCCUCCUGGGAUAACACUGACGUUGAGGCUCGAAAGCGUGGGGAGCAAACAGGAUUAGAUACCCCUGUAGUCCCUGUCUCUUAUAC
rnacentral:rRNA from 1 species